rnacentral:rRNA from 1 species
GACGAACGCUGGCGGCGUGCUUAACACAUGCCAGUCGAACGGAAAGACCCUGCUUUUGUGGGGUGCUCGAGUGGCGAACGGGUGAGUAACACGUGAGUAACCUGCCCUUGACUUUGGGAUAACUUCAGGAAACUGGGGCUAAUACCGGAUAGGAGCUCCUGCUGCAUGGUGGGGGUCGGAAAGUUUCGGCGGUUGGGGAUGGACUCGCGGCUUAUCAGCUUGUUGGUGGGGUAGUGGCUUACCAAGGCUUUGACGGGUAGCCGGCCUGAGAGGGUGACCGGCCACAUUGGGACUGAGAUACGGCCCAGACUCCUACGGGAGGCAGCAGUGGGGAAUAUUGCACAAUGGGCGGAAGCCUGAUGCAGCAACGCCGCGUGCGGGAUGACGGCCUUCGGGUUGUAAACCGCUUUCGCCUGUGACGAAGCGUGAGUGACGGUAAUGGGUAAAGAAGCACCGGCUAACUACGUG